AACUCCUGACUUCAGGUGAUCCACCCGUCUCAGCUUUCCAAAGUGCUGGGAUUACAGGUGUGAGCCAACGUGCCCAGCCAUUCACUCAUAAUUAGUCAUUCAGUUCCAUUAAAAAACAAAACAUUCAUUAUUCCCCUACUGUCUUGCCAGGCACUCUGCUAGGUCCUGAAGACACAAAGAUGAAUAAGCCACAGUCUCGGAGAGGACAGAGAGGCCAUCAGUUAUGAUGUCCCUGCCUGCUGGACUUGGAAAGUUUCCGAGGAGCUGCCCCAAGCUGCAGUAGAGUUUUCAGGCCCUGUGCUCUUGAGGGUAAGAACAAUGCCUCAUCCAUCCCUAUCUUUCUGAGUGUCUGCUGCACAGCCGACGAUCAAUAAACACUGGAGAUGGCGUCUUGUUAUUUUGCCCAGGCUGGUCUCAAACUCCUGACCUCAAGUGAUCCUCCCACCUCAGCCUCCCAACGUGCUGGGAUUACAGGCAUGAGCCACUGCACCUGCCCCACAAUUUCUGAUUUUUUUUUUUGAGACGGAGUCUCGAUCUGUCACCCAGGCUGGAGUGCAAUGAUGCAAUCUCAGCUCACUGCAACCUCCACCUCCCGGGUUCAAAUGAUUCUCCCGCCUCAGCCUCCCCAGUAGCUGGCAUUACAGGCACCCGCCAUCAUGCCUGGCUAAUUUUUGUAUUUUUGUAGAGACAGGGUUUCACCAUGUUGGCCAGGCUGUUCUUGAACUCCUGACCUCAAGUGAUCGGCCCACCUUGGCCUCCCAAAGUGCUGGGAUUACAGGCGUGAGUCACCGUGCCCAGCCUUAUUUGUAUCUUUUAAAAUAUCCUUUGCAAUAAAUCAG
rnacentral:lncRNA from 1 species